rnacentral:lncRNA from 1 species
AGAAAAAGGCUCCCGUUUCCGCAAACAGUUAGCAGUCUUGAUUCAGAUGACUGCAGCACGUCAUCAACAGCAGAGAAGGGUCACUUUGUGGUGUACACCACUGACGAAAAACGUUUUGUGCUUCCCUUGGAUUACCUAAACAAUGAAAUUGUUAAAGAGCUAUUCAAUCUAGCAGAAGAAGAGUUUGGAUUGACAAGCAAUAGACCUCUCACCUUGCCAUGUGAUGCUGCCUUCAUGGAAUAUUCAAUCACCAUGAUCAAGAAGAAUGUGGCUAAAGAUGUAGAGAAAGCAUUGCUGAUUACCUUAGCUAGCAAUCGAUGCUCAUCAACUUUGUAUCCUCAUCAAGAAGUCAGAAAUCAAGAAUUGUCAAUUUGUAGCUUCUGAAAUACCAUACAAAGUUAAUAUACACAUUGAUACAUUAAUGAAAUACAUAAUUUUUUUUCACAUUUGGUUGUUCUUUCAUCAAAAACAAUUCUUGAAACAUCCCUUGGAUAACAUAGCCCCCAGAUCAAUCUUAGUUUAAAGUGAAAUCUAAAAUUGUCCUGGUUAAGUACCUCAACAACAAUUAGAUUGAAACAACCAGAAAAUAUAGCAUUUGAAGUCUGAAAAAUGGAAAAAUUCAAGUGUCUGAAAUUGAAACUUCAAUCUACAGAGACUACAAAGCUCUUUCUAGCCCUUCCCAUUCAUUAAAACAGUUGCUUCUUUUUAAAUCCAAAAUUUGUUACUUCCUGUGGAAGAAACUACCUCAAGACAAGUGGUCUCUAUAUGGGGACUAAAUUUCUUUUUGUAAUAAUUUUCUUAAAAUCUUUUUCUGAUGAAUCUGUUAGUGUUCUUAGCAUUCUGCGUCAUAAAUCCCAGAAAACUAUUUCCCCUGAAAUUUUUUCUUGCGGGUGCAGAAGAGUUGGCCCAUUGAAUAACUAUAGCUUUUUAAGAUUUUUAAGUAAAUUAUGGACUGUGAGGAGAUUUUGUCGAUUUGAAUUUCCGUUUGGCGAUGACUAGAAUUUGUUAGGUGAUCAUGGUCUUUGAUUUUUUUUCAUUCAUCACCAAACAGAAUUUGUUCAUCAAGAUGGUUCUUUGGAUUUUCCUCAAGAUGUUAGAAAUCAGCCAUUGUCAAUUUGACUUCUGGUUUGCUAAUGACCAGAAUAUGUGAGGCGAAGAUGGUCUUUUUGUUUGCUGGAUGAUUUUGACUACCAGUAGCAGGAUCAACAAACGGAAAACAUGGUGCACAGUUAGAAGAUAGGUGCCAGCUUUUCCUGUCUCACUGAUAAAAUGCAACAGAAAAAAUAAAAUGAAGAUGCACAGGCAAGGAAGGAGCAAGAGAAUAUAUGAGAAAAAUUAAUGAUCACCACAAAUUAAUGACACCCUAUGUGAUGCAACCCAUGUUCUAUUUCAUACAGAAAUCUGCAAUCCUGUCAAAUAAUCAAACGACACAUAAUAACCGUAGCCAACGUACAGUAUGAAUGAUUUUUUCCGUCGGGACAGGUUGCCUUCUUCAUCUCUCACCUGAAAAUCUGACCGUCAAUGAAGAGCAUCACGACACAAAAAAUGGGACCUAUUUCAAUGUUAAACCACUUGAUCGAAAACGUACAUAUAUGCAUAUCUUCCAUGUUCCACAUUGGCAAACAACCCCACAUAGCCCACUUCUCACAUGGUUUUGUCUUGCAUGUCUGCCUGAUCUGUGAAAGUGUCCAUUGUGGAAUUGCUUCUGGUCUUCUGUAUAUAUAAUGCGUUCACUUCCAUUUCCUUGUAUCUAUCAUAAGGUUAACAUUUCCAUAUUCUAAGAUCUAAACAUCUCCUUCCUUAGUAAAAUCAGUUUCAAGAUGAUCAGUGCUAAGAAGCUCAUCAAAUUGGCAAGAAAAUGGCAGAAACUGGCUGCCAUUAGGAGAAAAAGGAUUGAAUUUCCAGGAACUGUUAGUGGUGCAGAUUCAGAAUAUUGCAGCACAUCAUCAACAGCAGAGAAGGGCCACUUUGUUGUGUACACUACUGAUAAUAAACGCUUUGUGCUUCCCUUGGAUUACCUUAACAAUGAAAUUGUUAGAGAGCUAUUCAAUCUAGCAGAAGAAGAGUACGGAUUAACAGGCAAUGCACC